CAGUCGCCGCGGGAAUACGUAGGUGGCAAGCGUUGUCCGGAAUUAUUGGGCGUAAAGCGCGCGCAGGUGGUUUAAUAAGUCUGAUGUGAAAGCCUACGGCUCAACCGUGGAGGGUCAUUGGAAACUGUUAAACUUGAGUGCAGGAGAGAAAAGUGGAAUUCCUAGUGUAGCGGUGAAAUGCGUAGAGAUUAGGAGGAACACCAGUGGCGAAGGCGGCUUCUUGGCCUGUAACUGACACUGAGGCGCGAAAGCGUGGGGAGCAAACAGGAUUAGAUACCCCCGUAGUCCCUGUCUCUUAUAC
rnacentral:rRNA from 1 species